GAGCGGGCACUUUCGGGUGUCAGCGGCAGACGGGUGAGUAACACGUGGGAACGUACCCUUUGGUUCGGAAUAACGGUGGGAAACUAGCGCUAAUACCGGAUACGCCCUUUUGGGGAAAGGCUUGCUGCCGAAGGAUCGGCCCGCGUCUGAUUAGCUAGUUGGUGGGGUAAUGGCCUACCAAGGCGACGAUCAGUAGCUGGUCUGAGAGGAUGAUCAGCCACACUGGGACUGAGACACGGCCCAGACUCCUACGGGAGGCAGCAGUGGGGAAUAUUGGACAAUGGGCGCAAGCCUGAUCCAGCCAUGCCGCGUGAGUGAUGAAGGCCUUAGGGUUGUAAAGCUCUUUUGUCCGGGACGAUAAUGACGGUACCGGAAGAAUAAGCCCCGGCUAACUUCGUG
rnacentral:rRNA from 1 species